rnacentral:lncRNA from 1 species
GCUCUCCAGCCGGGGUGGCGGCGGCGGCGGCGGCGGCGGCGGCGGCGGCGGCGGGGGAGGGGUGCGGCGGGGGAGGGGAGGAGGCCUGGCCCCGCGGUCGCAGCCGCCACCGCCCGCCCCGACCUCCCGGACCGCCGCGGGGCCACGGGCCCGAGCCCCGGAUUCGCGCUCCGGAUUCGCCUCGGCUCGGCCGCGCGUAUAUUUGCCUUCCCUCCAUGAUCUCCAACACUAUCCGAUAAAGUAGAAGCAACUGAGGUACCGUGAAAGAGAAAGGAGCUGGAACUGAGAAAAAGCAGAGCUACUCGGAAAGCUGAGGCAGGAGAAUUGCUUGAACUCGGGAGGCGGAGGUUGCAAUGAGCCAAGAUUGCACCACUGCACUCCAGCCUGGGCGACAGAGUGACUCCACCUCAAAGAAAGAAGAACGUUUUAGACCUGGCCCACCAGAGAUCUACUUCCUAUUUCUUCAGUGAUCAAGAAGCUGCUGGGGUCGGGUACUGGCUCCAGGAUUACUCCAGUAUUGUAUUACAGCAGGAGUAAGGGGGUAUAAAGGAAGAUAGCGAGCUAGUGUUUGUAUUCUUGAUGAAAUAAAGAUGUCAUAGAAAUCAACAAUAAGAAAAAGACCAAUAGAAAAAAAAUACAAAAGUAGUAAAGUAUAUGUAC